rnacentral:rRNA from 1 species
UACGGAGGGGGCUAGCGUUGUUCGGAAUUACUGGGCGUAAAGCGCGCGUAGGCGGACUUUCAAGUCAGGGGUGAAAUCCCGAGGCUCAACCUCGGAACUGCCUUUGAUACUGUAAGUCUUGAGUCCGAGAGAGGUGAGUGGAAUUCCUAGUGUAGAGGUGAAAUUCGUAGAUAUUGGGAAGAACACCGGUGGCGAAGGCGGCUCACUGGCCCGUAACUGACGCUCAGGCGCGAUAGCGUGGGGAUCAAACAGG